UGGGGAAUUUUGGACGAUGGGCGAAAGCCUGAUCCAGCAAUGCCGCGUGUGUGAAGAAGGCCUUCGGGUUGUAAAGCACUUUUGUCCGGAAAGAAAUCCUUGGCUCUAAUACAGUCGGGGGAUGACGGUACCGGAAGAAUAAGCACCGGCUAACUACGUGCCAGCAGCCGCGGUAAUACGUAGGGUGCAAGCGUUAAUCGGAAUUACUGGGCGUAAAGCGUGCGCAGGCGGUUUGCUAAGACCGAUGUGAAAUCCCCGGGCUCAACCUGGGAACUGCAUUGGUGACUGGCAGGCUAGAGUAUGGCAGAGGGGGGUAGAAUUCCACGUGUAGCAGUGAAAUGCGUAGAGAUGUGGAGGAAUACCGAUGGCGAAGGCAGCCCCCUGGGCCAAUACUGACGCUCAUGCACGAAAGCGUGGGGAGCAAACAGGAUUAGAUACCCUGGUAGUCCACGCCCUAAACGAUGUCAACUAGUUGUUGGGGAUUCAUUUCCUUAGUAACGUAGCUAACGCGUGAAGUUGACCGCCUGGGGAGUACGGUCGCAAGAUUAAAACUUAAAGGAAUUGACGGGGUCAUAGCUGUUUCCU
rnacentral:rRNA from 1 species